rnacentral:misc_RNA from 1 species
CUGAAAAAUUAACAAAUUAUUUAUGUUAUUAUACAUAGAGGAGCUAGAAGGCAAAAAAAGAAAGUAGACUAUUAGUUAAAUGUAAAAACUCUCAGUGAGGGGAGAGCAAAACUAGUUUUAUCAAAUGGUAAUUUCUAAAAUACAUCCCUAUCUAUCUUAUCCUAGGUUCAGGAAGUGCCCCAAAAAACAGCCUUCGUUCGUAUCAAUUUCUAUUAUCAGUCCUGCUGCACAUCAUUCCCUUCAACACCCUCGUCAUUCUUGUACGUUUUGAUAUCAAGAGUUUUCCGGUAUUUGCUGCUGGUUGUAUUGAAAUUUAAGGCAGAUGAACAGCAGCUUAUUAGUAUGGUGUGGAUUUACUAAAGGAAUGCAAACCUGUUAGCUGACACCAGGCUGCAUCAUAGGGAAGAUCCAGUUAUUGCAGGGCUCCUUUCCAAGAACUUUCUCGUUGGCCCACCAGUCAGAGCCAAUAGUAGCUUUAUCAGGAUAUCCUCCGUCUACAUUGUCAAAGUUAAAUUCCUUCGAGGAUCCAAGAGUGAUGGACCUGUGCUUCUGCUGCCUCUGUCCAUCCUCUCCGUCAGUAGAUGAUCCCUCGUGUAUUUCUCUGGAAGGCUCAUGUCCACUGUGAUCGUGUGCAUUUGACAUUUCAGCCAGGUUUUCCUGUCGUUUAGUGCUACGCUCAGUAUCCUGGAGAGACACUGAUCCAGUUCUCAUCAUCAUAGUUGGCUUCUUUUCCACACACCUCACAACAUCUUCUGCAGUAAUCUCGAAAGAAACUCUAUGAUCAACCACUGUUAGAUCGUUUUUCCAACCAUUAAAGGGCUUUGGAAAACGAUGAACACCAGUGUUCUGAUAAUUGAGAAGGAAACUAUCGUGAUAUUUGGGGUUUACUGCCUCAGGGGUCAAAGUCCCAGAUCCUUGCCGAGAUCCCCACUCGUGAGGGGCUAUUUUCUCCAGGUUCAGGAACUGAGGGCGUCCAGGAGUAUACUCACGCUCAAGAAAAGGAGAUGAAGUUCCAGAUACAGAGAUGGCUGACCCAGGCGAGAUCAAGUUACUGACUGGACUCCCUGGUUGAAGUUGGUAUGACUGAAAUUCAUACUGGGCAAAAGGAUAUCUGUGACCAGCAGCAACAUUCUGGUAGUUGGGGUCAAGCAGCUUAGCAAAUGGUACCUCAGGUGAUGAGGGUGUAGUCAAGUGGACUGACUCAGGAGGAGGGGUAAAUGGAGCAGUAGAUGGUUCAGUAGUGAAGGUUGAGAAAACAGGUGGGGAAACUAACUGUGUUUCAUGAGCAUAGGGACCAAUUGCAAAAAUAGACGCAGUCCCACCGGGAGAAUAUGCAUUGAUAGAGAGGGCUUUGAGAGAGAGUAAUCCAGCGGGUGACUGGGUAGCAGAAGGAGGAUCAGACGGAAGAAAGGAUGCAGGAGAAGAAGGAGGAGCUAUAAAAGGAAUUACAAUGGUGGCUGAGUGGUUUGGAUUUUCAGUAACUGGAACAGCAGGUCCAGGUGCUACAGGUUCAGGAACAAGGACGGCAUGACCAAUUCUUUUGCUGUGCUUGUGAGAACCAAAACACCAGUAUAGACUCCAGCAGCUUCCCCAUCUUCUCUUCUGAACUGUAGACGGUUGAACUCUACUCUCUGCAUUAACUAUAGCCGAAGCGGCAGCAUUUACAGUAUCUACAGUAUUCUGUACGCUACUCAUCCUUGAAGAAAAAAAACUACAAUUUUUUAAAAAAUACAAAUUCUGUUCUCCGGCGAAGAAUUAUAGAUUUUCCGGUAACUGAACCGCCGGAGUUUUU